AUUGAACGCUGGCGGCAGGCUUAACACAUGCAAGUCGAGCGGAGAUGAGGUGCUUGCACCUUAUCUUAGCGGCGGACGGGUGAGUAAUGCUUAGGAAUCUGCCUAUUAGUGGGGGACAACAUUCCGAAAGGAAUGCUAAUACCGCAUACGUCCUACGGGAGAAAGCAGGGGAUCUUCGGACCUUGCGCUAAUAGAUGAGCCUAAGUCGGAUUAGCUAGUUGGUGGGGUAAAGGCCUACCAAGGCGACUAUCUGUAGCGGGUCUGAGAGGAUGAUCCGCCACACUGGGACUGAGACACGGCCCACACUCCUACGGGAGGCAGCAGUGGGGAAUACUGGACAAUGGGGGAAACCCUGAUCCAGCCAUGCCGCGUGUGUGAAGAAGGUCUUAUGGUUGUAAAGCACUUUAAGCGAGGAGGAGGCUACUGAGACUAAUGCUCUUGGAUAGUGGACGUUACUCGCAGAAUAAGCACCGGCUAACUCUGUGCCAGCAGCCGCUGUAAUACAGAGGGUGCGAGCGUUAAUCUGAUUUACUGGGCGUAAAGCGUGCGUA
rnacentral:rRNA from 1 species